CAUCACCCCUAUCCGCCGCACGCUGCCUCUGUUUCCCCGGUAAGCUCACGCCAUUUCUGCCAGUGACCAGGUGCCACUCCCUUUCGCCGUAGCCAACCACCAGCUCCACGCCGUCGUGCCCCACCUCUCCGUGACGAUUAAUUAUUAUCCGACGCUUUUGAG